AUUAGAUACCCGUGUAGUCCUAGCCGUAAACGAUACUCGCUAGGUGUCGGCCACGGUGCGACCGUUGUCGGUGCCGUAGGGAAGCCGUGAAGCGAGCCACCUGGGAAGUACGGCCGCAAGGCUGAAACUUAAAGGAAUUGGCGGGGGAGCACCACAACGGGUGGAGCUUGCGGUUUAAUUGGAUUCAACGCCGGAAAUCUUACCGGGACCGACAGCAAUAUGAAGGCCAGGCUGAAGACUUUGCCGGAUUAGCUGAGAGGAGGUGCAUGGC
rnacentral:rRNA from 1 species